CAGCUGAUGCACUAGCUAGCAGUUUUCAUUGUUCUUCAUAUUACAGCAUCAAGAUUCAUGUGGCUUAUCAAACUGAAGACACAUCUUACUCAAGUCUACAAAAUUAGAGGUUUCAUUUUUAGAGUACAGUUCUUUCCCAAAGAAGCCAUGAAGUCACUGAAAAAACACAGCACAAAAGCCAACCCACCCACUACCCCGUCGCAAAAAGGUGCUGCAGUUUAUCUUUAAAGCCCUGAAGACUUGGGGCCCAAAUCUCUGGAGAAGCAUUUCUCCCUGUUACAGCUUGGCGGAGUUUUAAAAUCUGCAGGGGAGACUCUUCUGCAUGUGCCUCCAUGGGAAAAAGCCCUCCUUGCUGUGACAACCCAGCUGAGGAACAUCUUGCUUUUAGAGAUCUUCCAAGUGAUGCUGGUCAAAUCUGACAAAACUAUGAGGAUGGUUCAAACUCAUAGUAGAAUCUUGUAACAUUCUUAAAAAGAACAAGAACCACACUGGUUGUGAGUUGUAUUCCUCUUUCUGUUCACAUUUGCAGGUUGGGAAAUCCUGAGGUUGGGAAAGUCUGGUCUACA